rnacentral:rRNA from 1 species
AACGAACGCUGGCGGCAUGCCUAACACAUGCAAGUCGAACGAGACCUUCGGGUCUAGUGGCGGACGGGUGAGUAACACGUGGGAACGUGCCUUUAGGUUCGGAAUAACUCAGGGAAACUUGUGCUAAUACCGAAUGUGCCCUUCGGGGGAAAGAUUUAUCGCCUUUAGAGCGGCCCGCGUCUGAUUAGCUAGUUGGUGAGGUAAUGGCUCACCAAGGCUACGAUCAGUAGCUGGUCUGAGAGGAUGACCAGCCACAUUGGGACUGAGACACGGCCCAAACUCCUACGGGAGGCAGCAGUGGGGAAUCUUGCGCAAUGGGCGAAAGCCUGACGCAGCCAUGCCGCGUGGAUGAUGAAGGUCUUAGGAUUGUAAAAUCCUUUCACCGGUGAAGAUAAUGACUGUAGCCGGAGAAGAAGCCCCGGCUAACUUCGUGCCAGCAGCCGCCGUAAGAC